rnacentral:rRNA from 1 species
UAGGGAAUCUUCGGCAAUGGACGGAAGUCUGACCGAGCAACGCCGCGUGAGUGAAGAAGGUUUUCGGAUCGUAAAGCUCUGUUGUAAGAGAAGAACGAGUGUGAGAGUGGAAAGUUCACACUGUGACGGUAUCUUACCAGAAAGGGACGGCUAACUACGUGCCAGCAGCCGCGGUAAUACGUAGGUCCCGAGCGUUGUCCGGAUUUAUUGGGCGUAAAGCGAGCGCAGGCGGUUAGAUAAGUCUGAAGUUAAAGGCUGUGGCUUAACCAUAGUACGCUUUGGAAACUGUUUAACUUGAGUGCAAGAGGGGAGAGUGGAAUUCCAUGUGUAGCGGUGAAAUGCGUAGAUAUAUGGAGGAACACCGGUGGCGAAAGCGGCUCUCUGGCUUGUAACUGACGCUGAGGCUCGAAAGCGUGGGGAGCAAACAGGAUUAGAUACCCUGGUAGUCCACGCCGUANCGAUGAGUGCUAGGUGUUAGACCCUUUCCGGGGUUUAGUGCCGCAGCUAACGCAUUAGCACUCCGCCUGGGGGAGUACGACCGCAAGGUUG